AGAGAUGUAGCUCAGCAGUGGAGCAUCUUCCUUGCAUGAUGAGGGACCCGGGUUCAAUCCACAGCAUCUCCA